UACGUAGGCAGCAAGCGUUGUUCGGAGUUACUGGGCGUAAAGGGUGUGUAGGCGGUUUUUUAAGUUUGGUGUGAAAUCUCCCGGCUCAACUGGGAGGGUGCGCCGAAUACUGAAAGACUAGAGUGCGGGAGAGGAAAGUGGAAUUCCCUGGUGUAGCGGUGGAAUGCGUAGAGAUCCGGAAGAACACCGGUGGCGAAGGCGGCCCGCUGGGCAGGAAGACGGGCGCAAGCCCGUCGGCUGACACUGAGGCGCGACAGCGUGGGGAGCAAACAGG
rnacentral:rRNA from 1 species